UGUGGGGUGUCCUUGCAGCCGGUUUUGGGCAGCACACGGCUUCGGCUCACGGAGGCCGUGUUCCAAGGCCGCUCUGCUAAGAGCAUCAUCUGGCUUCGCUGCUUCCGCAGAGUCUCGAGGAGGAGAGGAGACCCGGGCUGAGACCUCAGUGUGAGGACAACAGGAAGCGUGUGAGCAGCUCUCGGAGGCUCCGGAGGGAAGGCAGGAGGGGUCUGUCCUAUCUACCGAGGGCCCGUUUUGCCCUCCGUCGUGAGGACAUGAAGCAGGCUCAGUUGUCAACCAGCCCGAGGAGAAGACCCGAGGCUGGAACUCAGAACCCCGCGAGGCUCCCGCUGCUGCCCGGCUGUGUGUCUUGGGGCAGGUUACUUACCCAUUCUGGGCUCAUCGAGGAAGAAGUGAUCAAAAGCGGUGCAGCACAUGUGCACACACGCGCACAAAAUGUUGUGUCUGUGGGAAGAGAGAGGAGAAGGAGCCUGGUGAUGCUCUAAAUGCUGUAGAUGACGGGGCGUCUGGGGGCUCAGUCGGUGGGGCGGCUGACUUCAGCUCAGGUCAUGAUCUCACAGUU